CGUAGGUGGCAAGCGUUGUCCGGAUUUAUGGGUUUAAAGGGUGCGUAGGUGGCCCUGUAAGUCAGUGGUGAAAUAUCUCAGCUUAACUGAGAGGGUGCCAUUGAUACUGCAGGGCUUGAGUACAGAUGAGGUAGGCGGAAUUGACGGUGUAGCGGUGAAAUGCAUAGAUAUCGUCAAGAACACCGAUAGCGAAGGCAGCUUACCAAGCUGUAACUGACACUGAGGCACGAAGGUGUGGGGAUCAAACAGGAUUAGAUACCCUGGUAGUCCACACUGUAAACGUUGAUGACUCGAUGUUGGCGAUACACAGCCAGCGUCCAAGAGCAAUCGUUAAGUCAUCCACCUGGGGAGUACGCCGGCAACGGUG
rnacentral:rRNA from 1 species